rnacentral:rRNA from 1 species
UACGUAGGAGGCGAGCGUUGUCCGGAGUUACUGGGCGUAAAGGGUGCGCAGGCGGCGUUUCGCGUGGCGAGAUGAAAUCUCCUGGCUUACCUGGGAGGGUGGUCGCCAGACGGGAGCGCUUGAGGGUCGGAGAGGGGCGUGGAAUUCCGGGUGGAGCGGUGAAAUGCGUAGAGAUCCGGAGGAACACCGACGGCGUAGGCAGCGCCCUGGACGACACCUGACGCUGAGGCACGAAAGCUGGGGGAGCGAACAGG